UUUUAUCCAGAAACUUGCAGCCCGACUUGAGUGGAAAUCCUUUUUUGUGGCAGGAAAAGCUAAGGCAAAAAGAUUGGGAACGGAAGGCGGAAAUAGCU
rnacentral:sRNA from 1 species